GCUGUGUCUAAAAACUUAUUUUAAACUAACUUAAAGGUGAAGAGGCCUUUAUAAGAAAGAAGGACGACAAGACCCUAUGAAGCUUUAUCUUAUUAGGGAUUUGAAAGAUCCUUAUACGAUUUUGAUGGGAGAUCAGUAAAAAUAAGUCUUUUACCAUUAUUUUUAUCUUACAAGUGUUUCCUAAUUUUAUAUGUGUGACUAGCUACUCUAGGGAUAACAGCGCAAUUUCUCCCGAAAGAUGGUAUUGGAGGGGAAGAUUGCGACCUCGAUGUUGGC
rnacentral:rRNA from 1 species